rnacentral:rRNA from 1 species
CAGCAGCCGCGGUAAUACGUAGGGUGCAAGCNUUAAUCGGAAUUACUGGGCGUAAAGCGUGCGCAGGCGGUUCGGAAAGAAAGAUGUGAAAUCCCAGAGCUUAGCUUUGGAACUGCAUUUUUAACUACCGGGCUAGAGUGUGUCAGAGGGAGGUGGAAUUCCGCGUGUAGCAGUGAAAUGCGUAGAUAUGCGGAGGAACACCGAUGGCGAAGGCAGCCUCCUGGGAUAACACUGACGCUCAUGCACGAAAGCGGGAGGAGCAAACAGGAUUAGAUACCCUGGUAGUCCACGCCCUAAACGAUGUCAACUAGCUGUUGGGGCCUUCGGGCCUUGGUAGCGCANUAACGCGUGAAGUUGACCGCCUGGGGAGUACGGUCGCAAGAUUAAAACUCAAAGGAAUUGACGGGGACCCGCACAAGCGGUGGAUGAUGUGAAUUAAUUCGAUGCAACGCGAAAAACCUUACCUACCCUUGACAUGUCUGGAAUCCUGAAGAGAUUUAGGAGUGCUCGCAAGAGAACCGGAACACAGGUGCUGCAUGGCUGUCGUCAGCUCGUGUCGUGAGAUGUUGGGUUAAGUCCCGCAACGAGCGCAACCCUUGUCAUUAGUUGCUACGAAAGGGCACUCUAAUGAGACUGCCGGUGACAAACCGGAGGAAGGUGGGGAUGACGUCAAGUCCUCAUGGCCCUUAUGGGUAGGGCUUCACACGUCAUACAAUGGUCGGGACAGAGGGUCGCCAACCCGCGAGGGGGAGCCAAUCCCAGAAACCCGAUCGUAGUCCGGAUCGCAGUCUGCAACUCGACUGCGUGAAGUCGGAAUCGCUAGUAAUCGCGGAUCAGCAUGUCGCGGUGAAUACGUUCCCGGGUCUUGUACACACCGCCCGU